UAAUUAAGCGGAGGAAAAGAAACUAACUAGGAUUCCCUCAGUAACGGCGAGUGAAGCGGGAUGAGCUCAGGAUGUAAAUCUGCGCUAUUAAAGCGCCGAAUUGUGGUCUGUAGACUUUGGUGUUAUCUGCCGGGCCAAGUUCCUUGGAAAAGGACAGCUGAGAGGGUGAGACUCCCGUCCGCCUGGUAGAGUGAGCCUUUGUCAAAGAGUCGAGUUGUUUGGGAUUGCAGCUCUAAUUUGGUGGUAAAUUCCAUCUAAAGCUAAAUAUUGGUGGG
rnacentral:rRNA from 1 species